GCUUACGGCCACACCGCCUGGUUAGCGAUCUCGUUUGAUCUCGGAAGCUAAGAUAGGUUGGGCCUGGUUAGUACUUGGAUGGGAGACCGCCUGGGAAUACCAGGUGCUGUAAGCU
rnacentral:rRNA from 1 species